rnacentral:piRNA from 1 species
UUCCAUUAUUUGUGCUUGUGGCUAUGUUC